rnacentral:tRNA from 1 species
GGAUUGUAGCUCAGUGGUAGAGCAUUUGCCUACCACGUGUAAGGCUCUGGGUUCGAUCCUCAGCACCA